UCAAACUUGGUCAUUUAGAGGAAGUAAAAGUCGUAACAAGGUUUCCGUAGGUGAACCUGCGGAAGGAUCAUUACCUUAUACCAUCGGGGGCUGGCCAUGGACUGCUGUUUCUCCUGGAACGCUUUCCAUACCCGCCCUGUCUGAUCAUACCCAUGAUUUUUGCGUACUUAUUGUUUCCUCGGUGGGCUUGCCUGCCGAUAGGACACCAUACAACCCUUUGCAAUUGCAGUCAGCGUCAGAAAAACUUAAUAGUUACAACUUUCAACAACGGAUCUCUUGGUUCUGGCAUCGAUGAAGAACGCAGC
rnacentral:misc_RNA from 1 species